rnacentral:rRNA from 1 species
CCUACGGGAGGCAGCAGUGGGGAAUAUUGCACAAUGGGCGCAAGCCUGAUGCAGCAACGCCGCGUGAGGGACGACGGCCUUCGGGUUGUAAACCUCUUUUAGUAGGGAAGAAGCGAAAGUGACGGUACCUGCAGAAAAAGCACCGGCUAACUACGUGCCAGCAGCCGCGGUAAUACGUAGGGUGCAAGCGUUGUCCGGAAUUAUUGGGCGUAAAGAGCUCGUAGGCGGUUUGUCGCGUCUGCUGUGAAAACCCGAGGCUCAACCUCGGGCCUGCAGUGGGUACGGGCAGACUAGAGUGCGGUAGGGGAGAUUGGAAUUCCUGGUGUAGCGGUGGAAUGCGCAGAUAUCAGGAGGAACACCGAUGGCGAAGGCAGAUCUCUGGGCCGUAACUGACGCUGAGGAGCGAAAGCAUGGGGAGCGAACAGGAUUAGAUACCCUGGUAGUCCAUGCCGUAAACGUUGGGAACUAGAUGUAGGGACCAUUCCACGGUUUCUGUGUCGCNGCUACGACAUUAACGUUACCCGUCCGUCGGGUAGGUACGGCCGCGAACGGACGUAAACCGUAACGAAACGGAAGUUAGACGGACGUGAGACGUGCCGACGGACGACGACGAGGGAGUAGG